GAAGAGAUAAACAAGAAAGAUGAAGUGCAGAAAAAGAAGAGAUAAACAAGAAAACGUAAACACAGAACAGCUCACAUCUUCUUCUUCGACAGCAAAAUUUGAGAAAGAUGAAGUAUGUGUCGUCGCCGAUUUUACCUAAGAUUAACCAUUAGGAUUCAAAGCUAUUGAAAAAAAACAGGUAUUUACGAUAUUUAUAACACACGGAUCGUAAAUCGGGCCGCACUUGAUCCGGAUAACUAAGCCCAGAUUUACAAGAUUCUACCUUCAAAUUUCGAAACCAAUUAAUUUUGCCGUGAUUUUUGCCGUGAUUUUUGCAAAAACGAUUUUGCUUGCGAUCCGAAAUUAUCGCACUUGAUCCGGAUAACUAAGCCCAGAUUUACAAGAUUCUACCUUCAAAUUUCGAAACCAAUUAAUUUUGCCGUGAUUUUUGCCGUGAUUUUUGCAAAAACGAUUUUGCUUGCGAUCCGAAAUUAAUUUUGCCGUGAUUUUUGCCGUGAUUUUUGCAAAAACGAUUUUGCUUGCGAUCCAGAUCGGUGGAGAUGAUUGAGAUCGCAAAAUCGUGCGAUUCCACGAUCUGGAUCGCGAUCUUGACAACAUUGGCCCCAUGUAUACUAUUAAAUUCAAGCUCAAGCUUCUUAAGAGAAAGCUCGAGGUCUGGAAGAGCUUGUGUUUGGUAAUGUUCCCUCAAAUGUUAAAGAGGCCGAGGUUGGUUUGCAACACAUCCAAUAGAAAAUUCAGAGUUUUGGUACUGAUGACAUGCUUAGAGGAAGCUUGAUAUUGCUUUGAAAAAUGAAGAAUUUUCCUGGCAGGAAAAGUCAAGGAUCAACCGGCAUCUUGAUGGAGACAGGAAUACUAGAUACAUCCAUAAGCUUGCAAAUAUUAAAACCAAAACCAAAGCCAUUUCUUCUUUGAGAAUUGUUGAUAAAAUUUCCACCUGCCAGCUUUAUAUUGGUUAUCAUAUUUUUCAACAUUUCUCUAACUUUUUUCGUUCUAACAAUUCUAUUUUGUAGGAUAUUGUGUGCCUGAUAUGCC
rnacentral:lncRNA from 1 species